rnacentral:rRNA from 1 species
UACAGGACGACGACGUUGUUCGGAUUACUGGGCGUAAAGGGCGCGUAGGCGGCGUGACAAGUCACUUGUGAAAUCUCCGGUGGCUUAACCUGGAACGGUCAAGUGAUACUGUCGGACUAGAGUACAGAAGGGGCAACUGGAAUUCUCGGUGUAGCGGUGAAAUGCGUAGAUAUCGAGAGGAACACCUGCGGCGAAGGCGGGUUGCUGGGCUGAUACUGACGCUGAGGCGCGAAAGCCAGGGGAGCGAACGGG